AUUGAACGCUGGCGGCAUGCUUUACACAUGCGAGUCGAACGGUAACAGGCCUUCGGGUGCUGACGAGUGGCGAACGGGUGAGUAAUGCAUCGGAACGUGCCCAGAGGUGGGGGAUAACGCAGCGAAAGCUGUGCUAAUACCGCAUGUGAUCUGAGGAUGAAAGCGGGGGACCAGGCAGCAAUGUUUGGCCUCGCGCCUUUGGAGCGGCCGAUGUCAGAUUAGGUAGUUGGUGGGGUAAAGGCCUACCAAGCCGACGAUCUGUAGCUGGUCUGAGAGGACGACCAGCCACACUGGGACUGAGACACGGCCCAGACUCCUACGGGAGGCAGCAGUGGGGAAUUUUGGACAAUGGGCGCAAGCCUGAUCCAGCAAUGCCGCGUGCGGGAAGAAGGCCUUCGGGUUGUAAACCGCUUUCGUACGGAACGAAAAGGCUCUGGCUAAUACCUGGGGCUGAUGACGGUACCGUAAGAAUAAGCACCGGCUAACUACGU
rnacentral:rRNA from 1 species